rnacentral:lncRNA from 1 species
GAUUUCUGCACAGCUGCUAGCGGGCCAGGGAGUCUGCGUACCUCAGUGCCCCAAGAGCCACCGGGGCUCACGGCCAUCCCCGCCCAGGCGGUCACCACAGCCAGGCCGGGCUGGGGAGUGUCAUCCACAUGCCUUGUGGCUCCCUGGGUCCCCACCCUGGGAUUCCAGGGGGACCCUCUGUACUAUGUCGCAGGCCAUUCUGGCCGCCUGGGCCCCCGUCCCCUUCCUGACAGGGACCUGGACGCAGACCUGGACCCGAGGCCCUGAAGCUGAACGUUGACCCUGCCCCAGGUUUAGACCCCGUGGCGUCAUAUGGGAAUCCUGGGAGGACACCUUACAGCAGGGUCCCUGAGCCCAGGAGGACACUCUGUGUUCCCCUGAGCCGAGGUCUUCGGACAGUGGGGGUCCAGCCAUAAAACCUCAACCCCCUGAGUGUCAAGAGCAGCCGUGACAUGGCCCAGCGCAGCUUCUCCAGAGCACGGCUCCUGCUGUCCACCUGCUGGCACCGCAGACACCAAGAGCACGGGGAGGGAGAGCAAGGGAGCCGUCAACCGCGUGUCCACUCCUGGGGACGAGCUCGGAAGAGGCCGGGUAUUAGGGUCUCCAGUCACGAUCCAGUCACUCUACAGAUGCCCUACCCCGCGUCCACCUUGCACGGGGCGGACACCUGCCCGCCGGGGCUGGCCGUGGGCAAGACGGACCAUGCGAUUGCCAAAGAGACCAGAGCAGGACAGAGUAGAAAAGUGACAAAGGACACUCCUGAGGUAUCACCAUGGAGGGAGCCGGCUUCACUCCCCAUGGGGUGGCCACAGGGCAGGGCAGCGUGGGCAGGGUGGCCACUCCAGAGCCCACCUGGGGCAGUGCGACCAGGAGCUGGGCCAGAGAUAAAGGUGUCACCCACUGGGGUGGGUUCUCACUGAGCAGGCGGGAGCGGUUCUCACUAAAGUCAGGAGAGCUCAGAGGACGCCCAGAAGCCCCAAGGUCCAGGCCCCCUCGAGAGGCAGUUUGGGGGAGCCCAGCCCAAGCUUGCUGAGGAGACCCUCCAUCAUGGCUGUGGAACUGGCCUGGGGACCCACACCAGGCUCUGGCCCAGUUUGGGAAGAGAGAAUGUUCUGGGAAAGCUGAAGGGGGGCAUCCCGGAGGCAAGGAGCAGAAUGUGACCCCCAGACCAGGGCAGCGGAACCACAGGGCCCUGGGCUGGGAGCACAGAUCUAGGGAGAUGGCCCAGGAGGUUCCAGAUCACCCUCUGCAGUCUCCACCCUCUGCAGACAGAGCUCAGUGAGGUCGGCCUCUCAGCUGACGAAGUGCCCACACAAGCCCCUGCCUGUCACGUGACCUACCAGCAGAAGUGUGGGGGCCACUCUCUUCCCCAUGUCCCUCAUGUGGUGGACGGAGGGCAGUGUCCCACCGCCCAGGAGCAGUCAGUGGAAAUUGGGAAACA